rnacentral:lncRNA from 1 species
GAAUGAGUGCCGUCUUCCUGACUCUGGAUGGCUUAUAGGAUCAUUGGAAUUGCAAUUGAAACUUUCUUUCUGCUCUGCAGGCUAACAGUCCGUGUACCUUCUUCCCUGCAACCUUGGAUGGCCGCUCCAUGGAAAAAGUACCUCAUGGAGGGAAAGAAAGAGUGUAAUGGCUUCAGACAGCUCUUUGGAUCAGAACUGUACUAGUUCUGCCUGAAGGCUGGUAUGAGACACACACAGAAGAAGCAUUGUUUGAGGGCCAUGCCACCUUCACUGAAGGCAGCCGUCACCGACCAGGACAGCAGUCAUACCCCCUGGUCUUCCUAAAUGAAUCAUAUUCUGGAUUGGCAUGGGGUUCUGUGCAGGAUAGGAGAAAGGACCACUCUGCAACCCUUUGCUCUUAAGUAUUUAAUCACGCAGCGAAAUCCAGCCUAAUGAAAUUAAGGAACUCAAGAAAUGGCUUGUUUACAGAACUGUGCUGCCUAAAAUUUACCAGGGGACCUUUAAAAAAUGCAGGUUAUUAUGGACAUUUUUGGUCGCCUAUCCAACUGAUACCUCGCCACAGC